UAUGGCAGUACCUAUGUGUAUACUUUCUUCGGCACUACGUCCUCAUGUUAUCGUAUAUUUUGUAGUAUACGUCGUUUUGUUUGUGUAGUUUCAGGUUGUGUUUUUUGAAAUUGUAUCACGUUUGUGUAUCUUUAGUUUUUUGUCUUGAGGAUGAGUCAAAAGCCUAAGCGACGUGUAAGAUUGGCCAGGAUGCCUGGACCGCCACCACCUCCCCCGGUGGCACCGCCGCCGCCUAUGAUGGGAGCACCGCCACCGGUUUUCAGCCAGCCGAAAUCCUCGACUGAUGAUCGCGCCGCCCUUUUGAAGUCUAUCCAGAAGGGGGCCAAACUGAAGAAAACCGUGACGAACGACAAGAGCGCCCCCAUGAUAGGAAAAGUGACAAGUUCUUCGAAUCCAACGCCAACUACGAACAACGGCGGCGGUAGUUAUGGGGGACCUUCGAUGGCCAAUGGGAUGGGGUUGGGAGGGCUGUUCGCUGGCGGAAUGCCUAAGCUGAAGCCAACAAAGAAUAGAUUAGGAAUUAACUCUACAAACAAUGCAAGUAACCUCGAACAAAAUGGAAACGCAAAAAUCACAAGAGAAAGGUCGCCUGUACAACCUACCCCAUCGUUCAACUUCACCAGCAUUCAAAACGAAGUUAAGAAGAAGCUGGCCAACGAUAACCGGGACAGGGGGCCACCCCCACCUACACCCUCAGCUGACAACGUAACUGCAGAACUGAGUCAUUUGUCCAUACAGCAGAGCAAUUCCAGCGGUAGCUUCGUGCAACAAGGUGUAACAGCCAAUCAUAGUUCUCUGCAUAGGAAGACGCAGAGCAACGUCAACUUGAGUUCUUUGGAUAGCACCGGGGUAUCGCCAUCGCCUGCAUCCACCCUCUCCACCUCAACGAGAUCAGUGAAUCACGGCAAGCCGAACUUGGCCCCCAAACCGCCUAUAUUGAACGGUAAACCGAAGGCUAAUCCUCCUAAGAGGUUAGUGACCAACGGUAAAGUUGUAGGUAGGGCGCACAGUUUAAAGAGCCCUAGAUCGCCACCUGUCCAACCUUUGGAGUCGCCAAUCGAUUCGGCCAUCAAGUACGGCACUGUACGAAAUAUGAGCUCUGUUCUGAGUCAUUCUAUAGGCAACAACCUGAACUCUAGGUCUAAAAUGACCUUGAACGGACGCCCCUCAGCACCGCCCCCUUCGAUACCAGGAACUCCCCCACACCAUGGAGGCUCUGCACCUGCCCCGCCAUCUAAGACGGCGUUGAUGAAGCCACCAAACCACGCUCCUCCACCACCUCCAGGAGCUUUACCUCAACCUCCCAAUCAUGCCCCACCCCCGCCACCCCCACACAAAACUUUACCAGCAAAGUCCUCAGGAAUGAGUUUCUCGUCUAGUCAGACACCUCCACCCCCUCCCCCACCGAGAAACUCUUCCAUGCGAGAUCAAAAUAGCGUUUACAAGAAGCAGUCGUCCAUAUUGGAUUUCGACGAAAGAUUCAAAGAAAUGUUUAAGUCCCCCACGUCUUUUCCAAAGCCUCCUCCGUUCAGGAACGUGCUUAAAAUCUAUUCCAACAGACAAGGAUCGGACUGCUAAAUACAUCAUCAUCUUGCAUGUUCAUUUGUCUGUGAGCAAGCUCUAACUACAAUAUAAUCGUUAAUAAACAACAGGCUCCCCCACCACCAUCGCCAUUACUUCCAAACAACAGACUUUGGGAUGUGCCUUCCAGCUGUUGAAAAUAAAUUUUUUAGUAUUAUUUUUGCUCAAGUCUAUUUCUGUCGAAUGUAAGCAGAAAAUUAUGGGAGAAAGAUAGAGAUAAACGUGAUAUGAAAUGGUGAUUUGAAAGUGUAGUCGUCAAGUUAUACCUAAUAGUGUAUAAAUAAAAUAGCUUCUGAGCUAUUAAUAUAUUAGCAUGUAAGUUGAUUUUUAAAACAUUAUUUAUUAUUUUAUUUAAUUUUUAUUUAGUAACUACCUUUUUAAAUGUACAUUCUAAUAUGCCUUUGCGUCAAAGCUUUUUUUUUCAUCAAGAAAACAAUUUUCUGUAGUUGUUUAUACUGUUAUACUUUUCAUGUAUACAUUGAUCAAAUAAUACUGUGAAACAUU